CUAUUUAGUUGGAUUUAGGUCCAAUAUUUAGAUCCAAUCAAAAAAUUGAAUCGGAUCAAAAUCACUUAUGAUCCAAUCUGACCCGACCUAUUUGCAUCCCUAGACUUGCUCGAUAGAAGGAUCAAUCUGAUUUAUCAAGUAUCGGUACAUCCUUCUUACCGAGUACUAAGUUGGCACCAAUGUAAUAUGGUUGGCAUGUACUGGAAUUGAUCGAUACGGCAA
rnacentral:lncRNA from 1 species